GGGUGACUAGUCUAGUGGUCAGGACGUUUCGUUGUGGUCUCCGGUAGAUUCCCAACUAUCCGAAGAAACCCAGGUUCGAUUCCUGGGUCGCCCA